GGUGCUGUUGCUGGUCUGUCUGUCGGGAGGUCUGGUGCCUUGGAGGGUUUCGGGGCGCCGCUCCCACACCUCCUGCCAGUCCUUUCCGACCAGCCCUCCCUCCUCCAGGCACUGUCCGCGUCCCUGAGGCUGCUCAGUCCUGCUUGUGCUCAAGCUACUCUGUGUCCAGGUUGCCUGAUGCUGCCUCAGGGAUCCCCCAAGACUGAGGGCAGGAAACGCCUUCCGCUCUGAGCCGGCUUCUGUGGGUCAGGAAUUUGGAUGGAGCCAGUGGGCUCGCUGCCCAGGGUGGCGGCUGCGAGACUCAGAACGGGCUGGCGCUGUCUGCAGGCUGCUUCCGGUCGGGCAGGGCGCUGCUGCCUGGGUCCCUCGCCUGGUCUAGAUCGGGCGGCUCUGCAGGGCUGGGACUGAGCCGCGGCCGCUUUCUUGUGAUCUGCGUUCUGUUCCACAAUCCCCGCCGGGCACAGCGCCACCCAAUUCACGGGACGGAACAGGACCCCACCCUGGGGUGUCAGUCACCCAACCGAGAGUGUGGGAGGGGCACUGCUUCUUGGAAAUGCACCUGCCACUCUCUCCAUUUGCUUCUUCCAGCGGCCGCCCGAUCCGACCGUCAGCGGGCACAUCCCCGAGGGGCUUCCUGGGCGCAGGGACCGGCCGGGACGAGGCUCAGUGCCGGGCCCACGGCAGACACCGGCAGGAAGACCUCCCGAAGCCCAGCACGUCUCACACGUCAGCCGUCAGCCGUCGGAUCCCACAGCAGCUCUGGGGCCAUUUCUCAGUUGACGACCCUGCGGCCUCGAGGGCAGGUGGCUGCACAGGACCUGCCAGCAGGAGCUCAGCUGUGACGGGAACCCAGAUCUCCUGGCCUGAAGCUGCGUUUAAAAGAACCAGAUGCCUCCAAGCAGCAAAGGAAUCCCUCCGGGCUGGGCUGCCCCCAUUCUCCCAGCAAGCAGCCCAGGCCACCCCCGGCCACUGACUGUCCUGCAUUCGGCACAGACUCCACUGGAGAGUUUUUCAUGAUUUGCCUUUUCCUGUGGGAACAGGCGACCAUUUCUCCCCACUGAUGCCAGCAGCGAGUAUUUAGCAGCCGAUCGCCAUGUCAUUAGUCUUGUUUGGUGUGUGCAACAGGAAAUACUUUGCUUUCGGAGAAGAAGAAAAAUAGAUUUACUUGUGUUACGCUUAUUAAUUUGUGUCUGAGAGGAAGGGAGAGGGAUAGAGAGUUAGAA